UACGUAGGGAGCAAGCGUUGUCCGGAAUUACUGGGUGUAAAGGGAGCGUAGGCGGGGAUGCAAGUUGGGUGUCAAAACUACCGGCUCAACCGAUAGUCGCACUCAAAACUGCAACUCUUGAGUGAAGUAGAGGCAGGCGGAAUUCCUAGUGUAGCGGUGAAAUGCGUAGAUAUUAGGAGGAACACCAGUGGCGAAGGCGGCCUGCUGGGCUUUUACUGACGCUGAGGCUCGAAAGUGUGGGGAGCAAACAGG
rnacentral:rRNA from 1 species